CCUACGGGAGGCUGCAGUGGGGGAUAUUGCACAAUGGGGGGAACCCUGAUGCAGCGACGCCGCGUGGGUGAAGGAGUGCUUCGGCAUGUAAAGCCCUAUCGGCAGGGAAGAAGCAAGACGGUACCUGACUAAGAAGCCCCGGCUAACUACGUGCCAGCAGCCGCGGUAAUACGUAGGGGGCGAGCGUCAUCCGGAAUCACUGGGUGUAAAGGGAGCGUAGACGGCCAUGCAAGCCAGGGGUGAAAGCCCGGGGCCCAACCCCGGGACUGCCCUUGGAACUGUGCGGCUAGAGUGCGGGAGGGGCAGGCGGAAUUCCUGGUGUAGCGGUGAAAUGCGUAGAUAUCAGGAGGAACACCGGCGGCGAAGGCGGCCUGCUGGACUGCGACUGACGUUGAGGCUCGAAAGCGUGGGGAGCGAACAGGAUUAGAUACCCCUGUAGUC
rnacentral:rRNA from 1 species